rnacentral:rRNA from 1 species
AUUGAACGCUGGCGGCAGGCCUAACACAUGCAAGUCGAGCGAGCGGCGGACGGGUGAGUAAUGUAUGGGGACUGCCCGAUAGAGGGGGAUAACUACUGGAAACGGUGGCUAAUACCGCAUAUUGCCGGAUAACCCAUAUGGGGUUAGCUAGUAGGUAAGGUAAUGGCUUACCUAGGCGACGAUCCCUAGCUGGUCUGCGAGGAUGAUCAGCCACACUGGGACUGAGACACGGCCCAGACUCCUACGGAGGCAGCAGUGGGGAAUAUUGCAAAAUGGGGGCAAGCCUGAUGCAGCCAGGCCGCGUGUAUGAGGAGGGCCCUAGGGUGGAAAAGUACUUUCAGUCGGAAGGCGUUACCGACAGAAGAAGCACCGGCUAACUCCGUGCCAGCAGCCGCGGUAAUAC